GCAGGUCAGAAGGAUGUUCAUUCUGCCAGAUCCAACAGACACUUACUUCAAUGUAUCUGUUGCUCAGGAUGCACAGACAUCCUGGGGUUUUCAUAUGCCUUAGUGUUGCCCGAGGAGCCGAGCGACAGCCGCUUGCUGGCGGUGGCUGUUUGGCAGCCAGCGUGUGAUGCCAGCCCAGCGCCUGUGGGCAUCUUCUCCCCGUUUCUGAAUCAACAUUGUGUCACGGCUGACCUCUGAAAAGCAUUUCCUUUUGAUGAGGAGACAUGGCGCUUACUGUAUCGAAGCUGUACACAGACACGAGAGUCCAUGCCAUCAUUACUGUAAAAAGCACUGAAGCGCUCCACUGCAAAAUUUAACAGUUAAUCGUGCCGUACAUUGGGGCGAUUAUCUUUGUUCUUCUCUUCCUGCUUCAAUGAUUUUAUUAACAGCAAAAAUUUUCAAAACCAUUCCAGUGUUGCAGUUCACAGAUGUGUAAUAUCUGUUACCCUCCCAUCUGGACAAUGAGCUGUCACAGGCAAAAAAUUUAUUAAACCUUGGAUUUGUUUCUUU